CAGGAUGUUCUGCUCUGAUUGGCAGGGAGAGUUUGAAGGUGGGUUGGCAGAGACUGUGACCGCAACUGACUGCGUUCUGCAGAAUUAUGGUAAUGAAAUUGGAAGCCAACUUUCGUGAAGCAGAAAGCCUCAAGUUUCCAGGUGCUGUGCUCAGUCCAGGAAUACAAUGAUGAAUACGAUCAAGGCCCUUUCAGAGCUGACACACACUAUACAUAAUGCAUCAAAAAUUGCGUUCUCGCUAUAUUUCUGUUUAUUUGGUUUUAUCUGCAAGAAUAUAGAUAGCAUCUGCUUUGAUAUAAAACUUUUAUGUGUCUUAUGUAGUUGAUUUGUAAAUGUCCUAUCUAUAAAUAUAAAACAAUAAAUUACUAGUUACAGUUAACUUAGGAAAACUUUUAAUCAUGUCCUACAUUUUACACCUUGUAAUUUCUACCAAAUGUUUGUAUUUUUAUGUCUUAUUAAAUAUAAUAAAUAUUUGUCUUAACAUA
rnacentral:lncRNA from 1 species